rnacentral:rRNA from 1 species
UACGGAGGGUGCAAGCGUUAUUCGGAAUUACUGGGUUUAAAGGGUGCGUAGGCGGUUAUAUAAGUUGUCAGUGAAAGGCUACGGCUCAACUGUAGUAGUGCUGGCGAUACUGUAUAACUAAGAACAUGGGAGGGGUACCUGGAAUGUGUGGUGUAGCGGUGAAAUGCAUAGAUAUCACACAGAACACCGGAGGCGAAGGCGGGGUACUAGACCAUAGUUGACGCUGAGGCACGAAAGCGUGGGGAGCAAACAGG